UACGGGGGGGGCAAGCGUUGUUCGGAAUUACUGGGCGUAAAGGGCUCGUAGGCGGCCAACUAAGUCGGAUGUGAAAUCCCCAGGCUUAACCUGGGAACUGCAUCCGAUACUGGAUGGCUUGAAUCCGGGAGAGGGAUGCAGAAUUCCAGGUGUAGCGGUGAAAUGCGUAGAUAUCUGGAGGAACACCGGUGGCGAAGGCGGCAUUCUGGACCAACACUGACGCUGAGGUGCGAAAGCGUGGGGAGCAAACAGG
rnacentral:rRNA from 1 species